rnacentral:tRNA from 1 species
GGGGCCUUAGCUCAGCUGGGAUAGCGCCUGCUUUGCACGCAGGAGGUCAGCGGUUCGAUCCCGCUUGUCUCCA